rnacentral:tRNA from 1 species
GCGCCCGUAGCUCAGCUGGAUAGAGUACUUGACUACGAAUCAAGUGGUCGGAGGUUCGACUCCUUCCGGGCGCGCCA